UACAUGGGGUGCAAACGUUGCUCGGAAUCACUGGGCGUAAAGGGUGCGUAGGCGGGUCUUUUAAGUCAGAGGUGAAAUCCUGGAGCUCAACUCCAGAACUGCCUUUGAUACUGAGGAUCUUGAGUUCGGGAGAGGUGAGUGGAACUGCGAGUGUAGAGGUGAAAUUCGUAGAUAUUCGCAAGAACACCAGUGGCGAAGGCGGCUCACUGGCCCGAUACUGACGCUGAGGCACGAAGGCGUGGGGAGCAAACAGGG
rnacentral:rRNA from 1 species